GACGAACGCUGGCGGCGUGCUUAACACAUGCAAGUCGAACGGAAAGGCCCUGCUUUUGUGGGGUGCUCGAGUGGCGAACGGGUGAGUAACACGUGAGUAACCUGCCCUUGACUUUGGGAUAACUUCAGGAAACUGGGGCUAAUACCGGAUAGGAGCUCCUGCUGCAUGGUGGGGGUUGGAAAGUUUCGGCGGUUGGGGAUGGACUCGCGGCUUAUCAGCUUGUUGGUGGGGUAGUGGCUUACCAAGGCUUUGACGGGUAGCCGGCCUGAGAGGGUGACCGGCCACAUUGGGACAGAGAUACGGCCCAGACUCCUACGGGAGGAAGCAGUGGGGAAUAUUGCACAAUGGGCGGAAGCCUGAUGCAGCAACGCCGCGUGCGGGAUGACGGCCUUCGGGUUGGAAACCGAUUUCGCCUGUGACGAAGCGUGAGUGACGGUAAUGGGUAAAGAAGCACCGGCUAACUACGU
rnacentral:rRNA from 1 species